rnacentral:rRNA from 1 species
UGGGGAAUCUUGCGCAAUGGGCGAAAGCCUGACGCAGCAACGCCGCGUGCGGGAAGAAGGCUCUCGGGUUGUAAACCGCUUUCAGCAGGAACGAAAAUGACGGUACUUGCAGAAGAAGGUGCGGCCAACUACGUGUCAGCAGCCGCGGUGACACGUAGGCACCAAGCGUUGUCCGGAUUUAUUGGGCGUAAAGAGCUCGUAGGCGGUUCGGUAAGUCAGGUGUGAAAACUUUGGGCUCAACCCAAAGCCUGCAUCUGAUACUGCUGUGACUAGAGUUCGGUAGGGGAGCGGGGAAUUCCUAGUGUAGCGGUGAAAUGCGCAGAUAUUAGGAGGAACACCGGUGGCGAAGGCGCCGCUCUGGGCCGAAACUGACGCUGAGGAGCGAAAGCGUGGGUAGCAAACA